rnacentral:lncRNA from 1 species
CACCCCAUGACUUUCUUACUUUCUUCAUUUCAAUCUCAUUGGUCACCCCAUGACUUUCUUACUUUCUUCAUUUCAAUCUUAUUUAAUAACCUUUCUUUUUACUUUCCAAUUGAUAUAAUUUGCAUGCCUGAAAUGUUAAAAAAAAAUAUAAAACUGAUAUGUCUCAUUGGGGGGUUUUGAUCCUGGAUCCCGCUUACUGUUUUGUCAGAUUCCUGUAUCCGGCUUAGUCAAUGUACAUAAACAAUUCGCAUUUUUUUGUAGUUUCCUGUGUCCCGCUAGACUUCAUUUCCCAUUUUUACGGCAGAAUAAUUUGAUUUUCAUAUGUCACGAUUACAAAAAAAAAAAGCAAUUCUCGUGACAAGCUUAGACCCCAAUGAGACCCACUACAGGUAAAGGAAUGAAUAUUUAAGUUAAAGGCCCUUAGGGGAAGGUAUUGCUCAAAUAGAAGGAUAAGUAACCAUGGUUACCUAGUAAAUUUAAAAUAGUUCUGCGCAAAUAAUUUAAGGAAAAUACAAGGGGUUUGAAAUACACAUGUAAAGGUUAAAAUUAUUACUUAUUAAUAAAUAGACAUUGAUACAAUGCUACUUAAAUUAUAAGUUAAUCAUUAAAUAUGCUAAACUACAAAAAAAUAUAAAUUGUUUACUUAUUACACUACACUAUUCAGGGGCAGAUCCAGCCAUUUGAAAAAGGGGGGUUCCCAACCCAGGAUAAAGGGGGUGUUCCAACCACAUGUCCCCAUUCAAAUGCAUUGAUCGUCAAAAAAAAGGGGGGGUCCAACCCCUGACACCCCUCCCCCCCCUGGAUCCGCCACUGCUAUUACAAUGUAAUCAUAAAAUAUUC